rnacentral:rRNA from 1 species
AGAGUUUGAUCCUGGCUCAGGAUGAACGCUAGCGGCAGGCUUAACACAUGCAAGUCGAGGGGCAGCACGGGUAGCAAUACUUGGUGGCGACCGGCGCAAGGGUGCGUAACGCGUAUGUAAUCUGCCAUUAACCGGGGAAUAGCCCAGAGAAAUCUGGAUUAAUGCCCCAUAGUAAUAUUAAAGGCAUCUUUAAUAUUUUAAAGCUUUGGUGGAUACGGAUUGGCUCGCGUGACAUUAGCUAGAUGGUAAGGUAACGGCUUACCAAGGCUACGAUGUCUAGGGGUUCUGAGAGGAUGAUCCCCCACACUGGUACUGAGACACGGACCAGACUCCUACGGGAGGCAGCAGUGAGGAAUAUUGGUCAAUGGGCGCAAGCCUGAACCAGCCAUCCCGCGUGAAGGAUGAAGGUCCUAUGGAUUGUAAACUGCUUUUAUACACCAAGAAAAACACCCACGUGUGGGUGCCCGACGGUAGUGUAUGAAUAAGCAUCGGCUAACUCCGUGCCAGCAGCCGCGGUAAUACGGAGGAUGCAAGCGUUAUCCGGAUUCAUUGGGUUUAAAGGGUGCGUAGGCGGCUUUUUAAGUCAGUGGUGAAAUCCUGCCGCUUAACGGUAGAAUUGCCAUUGAUACUGAUAGGCUAGAAUAUGGUUGCUGUGGGUGGAAUGUGUGGUGUAGCGGUGAAAUGCUUAGAUAUCACACAGAAUAUCAAUUGCGAAGGCAGCUCACAAAGCCAUUAUUGACGCUGAGGCACGAAAGUGUGGGGAUCAAACAGGAUUAGAUACCCUGGUAGUCCACACCGUAAACGAUGAUAACUCGCUGUCGGCGAUAAACAGUCGGUAGCCAAGCGAAAGCGAUAAGUUAUCCACCUGGGGAGUACGACCGCAAGGUUGAAACUCAAAGGAAUUGACGGGGGCCCGCACAAGCGGAGGAACAUGUGGUUUAAUUCGAUGAUACGCGAGGAACCUUACCCGGGCUUAAAUGUAGAGCGACAGAUUGUGAAAGCAGUCCUUCUUCGGACGAUCCUUACAAGGUGCUGCAUGGUUGUCGUCAGCUCGUGCCGUGAGGUGUCGGGUUAAGUCCCAUAACGAGCGCAACCCUUAUCGUUAGUUGCCAGCGGGUCAAGCCGGGGACUCUAGCGAGACUGCCACCGUAAGGUGUGAGGAAGGUGGGGAUGACGUCAAAUCAGCACGGCCCUUAUGUCCAGGGCUACACACGUGUUACAAUGGCCGAUACAAAGGGCAGCUACCAGGUGACUGGAUGCUAAUCUCCAAAGUCGGUCUCAGUUCGGAUCGAAGUCUGCAACCCGACUUCGUGAAGCUGGAUUCGCUAGUAAUCGCGCAUCAGCCAUGGCGCGGUGAAUACGUUCCCGGGCCUUGUACACACCG